rnacentral:lncRNA from 1 species
AAAGAACAUAGCUAGUGGCAGAAUGAGAUGAUCACAUAAAAACAAGUCAUUGUGCUUCUGCUUCGGGAAAGUGCAAGCCACGAUAAGAUUUCGGCUUUAGGAAUGACAUGUAAUUUCCUUUGAACCGAAAAUAGCCUCAGAACCCCAACGCAAGCUUUCCCGCCCUCGCCGCCGUGCGUCCUCAGGGUCUGAGAACCAGGAGAUCAACCGCGGCGCCCUCGGCCGGGCGCGCAGUGCCGCGGAGGGGCGCGCGGGGGCAGCAGCGGGCCCGCGCCGCCGCCGACAUUGCCGGGCGGGGGGUUUCCACGCUCGGUGCCCGGUUCUCUGUGGCCGGCCGCCCAUUGUUGUUUCCGAAGGGGUGGGGGGCGCGGGGCCCGCUGUCCUCAGCGCUUCGUCGGGGACGGCCCCGCUUCCUACGGCGGGUGGAGAGCGGUUUGUUUAAGGACAAACUUUUAAAGGGGACUCCGGAUGGCGGAUCGGCGUCGCCUGCGGUUAGACGCCCGCGGGGCCGCCUGGGGACGAGCGGCUGCCCUGACCCCGCGGGGCCGGGCCCGGAGGAGCCCAUCUCCCCUGGGCUCUGCGCGCUUGCCGCCUCGUGCAUUUGCCCUCCUCCCCCCCAGCCCCGGGGUCCGAGGGGGGCCCCGCCCGCCUGUCUGAGGCCUCCUCCUCCAGGGAGCCCUCCCACCCGCUCCCUCCCACCGCAGAGCUGCGCCCCGGCCGGGCCGCUCCCCGCAGCAGCCGCUGGCACUGCAGGCUCUGCGGGGGGCCCUUUCUUCUGCUCCGGCCUCGCACAGAGGUCUGCCCAAGGUCUCCCCAGAGCGGCCGUCCGUGGGUCGAAGGACUCAGGCGUGAAGAGGCCACCAGGGCCACUGGGACGCCUGCUGCCCCACCUCCUGAAUGUGGAGGGGCCGUCCGUCCCUCGUUCCCUCUGCCUGUCCUGACUGCGGAGCACCCUGAGCGGGGCCCCGCGGGCGCCUUGCUGAGCACUCUGGCCCCAUUGCUGUUCUCCUCUUCGCUCUUCCUGUCCUCUCCGGCUGGGUUGUAAGGCCUGCUUACUGGAAUGACUGGAUGCGACUCUCGGGUUUUGUCUGUGGUAACCCUGGGACGGGUCUGUCCGAGCAGAUUGGAGCAGACAGAGAAAUAAAAAGCAGUGUUUCAACUGCUGGGCUGGACGAGGUGGCACAGACCUGCC